rnacentral:lncRNA from 1 species
AUGCAGGUGGCCAGGCUGUUAUACCCGCUCCAGUGCCCCCGGCCCGGCCCCGGCUGUGCUGCGGCAGCACUGAGGGAAGAGACGCUGGAAACCAGCACUAGCCUCCUUGGUCCUGGUCCCUGGAUAUACUCAGAACUCGUUCUCUCGUGGCUUUUCUACCUGGUCCUGCCUCUUUACAGCGGGACCCACAUUUCUCGACUAGUCUGUCUUGAACAGUCCUCGUUAACCCAUCCGGCUGCGUUUCCUGACCACGGGGCUGCCAGGUACACCGCUGGCACCAGGACGUCCAGCUGGCCUGGCUCACGGUGUGGUCCCGUUUGCAAGAGGAGGAGUGGAGCCUGGUGGGAUUUACCGGAGCAGCCUGGCUCCCUCUGCGACCCUCCCUCCAGAACAGCGGCCCUGUGACUCCGGGAGGGCGCAGCUCACCAGAGAACAACACGAUGCUGAGACCCGGGUACUGUUUGUCACCGCAGCACACAGACUGGUAAGUAAAUAUUAUGUUUGUAACUCGGAGCGAAGAGUGGUGAGGUCACGUAGCUUGCUCUUGCUGCACGAGUCAGUGUCAGGCUGGCACAGACGCUUUAAAUGUCCACUCUUUGGGAAACUGAGAUUUUGCUAGAACCUCAUGCUUUCCUCAUGCGGAGCGUCACAGCCAGUAGUUGACUUGUGCCAACAACAUCCUGUCCUCAGAACCUAGGUUCUUGCCUUUUUCACCCUGAAGGUGGGCAGCUCAGCCUGCUUUCUUUAACCCCGAGAGCUCAGGCGUCUGUUCGACAUGGAGCUUGUGAGUCUCUGGGUGUCGCGCAGAAUGUUCAUCUCAAGAGAUUCUGCCUGUCGAUGGUUAGAAUCAUUUGGAAAUUAAUCAUGUGAGCAUAAGUACACAGAUUCCAAAACUUUUGUUAUCACCUUGUGUUGGCUCUUAGAAAAGAGCCUGAGGAUCUUCAGCAAACCUCAGGUUCCUAGACAAGCAAACAAACACCGGAGCUCCGGUCGUGGCGCAGUGGUUAACGAAUCCGACUGGGAACCAUGAGGUUGCGGGUUCGAUCCCUGCCCUUGCUCAGUGGGUUAAGGAUCCGGCGUUGCCGUGAGCUGUGGUGUAGGUCGCAGACGCGGCUCGGAUCCCGCGUUGCUGUGGCUCUGGCCUAGGCUGGUGGCUGCAGCUCCGAUUCGACCCCUAACCUGGGAACCUCCAUGUGCCGAAGGAGCGGCCCAAGAAACAGCAAAAAGACAAAAAAAAAGAAGAGGAAGAAAGUGGAGCCUCGGACCUUUGAAGGAGAGGCUCCCUCCCACCGCACAGCAAGAAGGCACUGUCUGCGAGCCUGGAAAAGGGCCCUCAGCAGAGGGCGGCCCUGCCGGCACCCUGAACGUGGACUUCCAGGCUCCAGAGCUGGGAGGAGCGACCACA